AAUAUAAGGAAUUUUAAGUUUUUACUUGCAACGUUUGACCACUCGUCUUAUUCAAAAAAUUUUAAAAUUAUUAUUUAUUUUAUUUGUGACUUAUUUUAUUAUCUACAAUACUUUAAGCAUAACUCUUCAUUUUUUAUAUUUGCAAAAAAAAAUUGAAUAAGACGAGUGGUUAAACGUUGCAAGCAAAAACUGAAAAUCCCUUAUA
rfam:Oryza nivara chromosome 5, whole genome shotgun sequence.